UGGGGAAUAUUGGACAAUGGGCGCAAGCCUGAUCCAGCCAUGCCGCGUGAGUGAUGAAGGCCUUAGGGUUGUAAAGCUCUUUCGGCGGGGAAGAUAAUGACGGUACCCGCAGAAGAAGCCUCGGCUAACUCCGUGCCAGCAGCCGCGGUAAGACGGAGGAGGCUAGCGUUGUUCGGAAUUACUGGGCGUAAAGCGCACGCAGGUGGCGGUUCAAGUCGGAUGUGAAAGCCCGGGGCUCAACCCCGGAUGUGCAUCCGAUACUGGAUUGCUAGAGUCCGAAAGAGGAGAGUGGAAUUCCCAGUGUAGAGGUGAAAUUCGUAGAUAUUGGGAAGAACACCGGUGGCGAAGGCGACUCUCUGGUUCGGUACUGACACUCAAGUGCGAAAGCGUGGGGAGCAAACAGG
rnacentral:rRNA from 1 species